ensembl:snRNA U6 U6 spliceosomal RNA
UUGUGCUUACUUCAGCAACGCAAAUUUACUAAAAUUGGAACAAGACAGGGAAGAUUAGCAUGGCCCCUGCUCAAGGAUGACAGGCAAAUUCAUGAAGCAUUGGGUAUUUUU